rnacentral:lncRNA from 1 species
AAGGCCCGCCUUAAGAAGACUAUAUAAAGGGAACAUAAACCCUAAAGCAAGGGAUCGACACUUCAAGACUUAGUGAUUAGAGCUAGCCGGCUAGAACUAGGGUUUAUACACCAAUCUGUUGUAGCUCAGGCUUGUUCAUCUAAUAAAAUAUCUCUUCAAGUCUAUUUCUCUAAAACUAUACACGAAAUCUAUACAAAUACCAGCCUUGUCCACCGUUCUGUGGUACUCACAAAGAUCCUACACAAAAAUCCC